rnacentral:rRNA from 1 species
UACGUAGGGGGCAAGCGUUAUCCGGAUUUACUGGGUGUAAAGGGUACGUAGGCGGCUGACUAAGUCAGAUGUGAAAGCCCGGAGCUCAACUCCGGGAUUGCAUUUGAAACUGGUUAGCUAGAGUACAGGAGAGGUAAGUGGAAUUCCUAGUGUAGCGGUGAAAUGCGUAGAUAUUAGGAAGAACACCAGUGGCGAAGGCGACUUACUGGACUGUAACUGACGCUGAGGUACGAAAGCGUGGGGAGCGAAC